AGAAGAAGAUCCACACUUCCGGGUGGUGAUGACGUCGCGUCGUGACGUCAUAUUUCAAAAUGGCAGAGCCCGCGGAAAGACCCCCUGGAGUCGACUCCAUUUCCCAAGAAAAGAUGUCAACAGCGCGACUUGUAACAAUUAUAAGGCCGAGGAGGGUUAUUUGAACACACACCAUUCAAUUAUUAUAAAUGAAAGUCACGUUUUUUAACCGCUCCGGUCUCGUCCCAGCGGAAGUGACGCUAGCACGUCAUCAGAAUACAACAGCUUGCUAGCUAACACGCCUCCUAUCAUGUCAGCGCUGUUAUUUGUUCCAAUGUCAUUCAUUCCUUCUCAUUUACAUCAACACGACGAGAGAGACAUUCUGCCGCUAGACGAAGGUCACCGAGCAGCGACGAAGUUUGCAUUUUCGGUAGAGGUCCAGGGAGCCACGAGGGCGGUGCUAAAGAGACGCGGGUUGCUGACCCCCGGCCUACACCCGAGACUGGCCGCCAGUUCAUCACAGGACACAUGAACAAGCCUUCGCCCUCAAAUCAGAGAAAAACAACAACACCAGAAAUGUGUCCCGUGAAAAACCGUCCGACCAGAACUCUAAUAACUAAAGUUCCUUGGGUGAAUAAUGAAAUGGCAACAGCAGAGGAUGGAUGUCCCAUAACAAGAAGGUGGAGAAAAAGAAGAAGCUUAUCGACUACGGUGUCGGCACGGACUACAAAGGCGGACCUGCACAAAUUUUCAGGUACCAGAAGGUAAGAAAAGUUUCUUU